CGCUGGCGGCAGGCCUAACACAUGCAAGUCGAGCGGUAGCACAGAGAGCUUGCUCUCGGGUGACGAGCGGCGGACGGGUGAGUAAUGUCUGGGAAACUGCCUGAUGGAGGGGGAUAACUACUGGAAACGGUAGCUAAUACCGCAUAACGUCGCAAGACCAAAGUGGGGGACCUUCGGGCCUCAUGCCAUCAGAUGUGCCCAGAUGGGAUUAGCUAGUAGGUGGGGUAAUGGCUCACCUAGGCGACGAUCCCUAGCUGGUCUGAGAGGAUGACCAGCCACACUGGAACUGAGACACGGUCCAGACUCCUACGGGAGGCAGCAGUGGGGAAUAUUGCACAAUGGGCGCAAGCCUGAUGCAGCCAUGCCGCGUGUAUGAAGAAGGCCUUCGGGUUGUAAAGUACUUUCAGCGAGGAGGAAGGCAUUAAGGUUAAUAACCUUGGUGAUUGACGUUACUCGCAGAAGAAGCACCGGCUAACUCCGUGCCAGCAGCCGCGGUAAUACGGAGGGUGCAAGCGUUAAUCGGAAUUACUGGGCGUAAAGCGCACGCAGGCGGUCUGUCAAGUCGGAUGUGAAAUCCCCGGGCUCAACCUGGGAACUGCAUUCGAAACUGGCAGGCUAGAGUCUUGUAGAGGGGGGUAGAAUUCCAGGUGUAGCGGUGAAAUGCGUAGAGAUCUGGAGGAAUACCGGUGGCGAAGGCGGCCCCCUGGACAAAGACUGACGCUCAGGUGCGAAAGCGUGGGGAGCAAACAGGAUUAGAUACCCUGGUAGUCCACGCCGUAAACGAUGUCGACUUGGAGGUUGUGCCCUUGAGGCGUGGCUUCCGGAGCUAACGCGUUAAGUCGACCGCCUGGGGAGUACGGCCGCAAGGUUAAAACUCAAAUGAAUUGACGGGGGCCCGCACAAGCGGUGGAGCAUGUGGUUUAAUUCGAUGCAACGCGAAGAACCUUACCUACUCUUGACAUCCAGAGAACUUAGCAGAGAUGCAUUUGGUGCCUUCGGGAACUCUGAGACAGGUGCUGCAUGGGCUGUCGUCAGCUCGUGUUGUGAAAUGUUGGGGUUAAGUCCCGCACGAGCGCACCUUAUCCUUUGUUGCCAGCGGUUCGGCCGGAACUCAAAGGAGACUGCCAGUGAUAAACUGUAG
rnacentral:rRNA from 1 species